CAAAAGCACCAGGGGUGCUUGAACCAGGAUAGCCUUUGCGCGGGGCUAUCCAGGACCAGGCUGAGAAAGUCCCUUUGAACCUGAACAGGGUAAUGCCUGCGCAGGGAGUGUGCAGUUUUUUUUUC
rnacentral:ncRNA from 1 species